rnacentral:misc_RNA from 1 species
GAUGAAGAACGCAGCGAAAUGCGAUAAGUAAUGUGAAUUGCAGAAUUCAGUGAAUCAUCGAAUCUUUGAACGCACAUUGCGCCCCUUGGUAUUCCGAGGGGCAUGCCUGUUCGAGCGUCAUUAUAACCCUCAAGCUCAGCUUGGUGUUGGGGCCUGCUGCACUGGCAGCCCUUAAAAUCAGUGGCGGCGCCAUCUGGCUCUAAGCGUAGUAAUUCUUCUCGCUAUGGAGUCCUGGUGGAUGCUUGCCAUCAACCCCCAAUUUUUCUAUGGUUGACCUCGGAUCAGGUAGGGAUACCCGCUGAACUUAAGCAUAUCAACAAGCGGAGGA